AAUUUCUUUGCGACACCUUUGUAUCCUUCGUGAUCGUUUGUCAGCAUAAUCAUCAUAUACACAUAUACAUAUACAUAUAUAUUCAUAUAAAGUCAUGUUUUGCAUAUCCUGCAUCUUCAUAUUUGAUUGGUUUGAGAUUUUCAUUCUCUGUUAUGGCGGUACUUUAUCCCCAUACCAAAUCUAGUGUUUGUCCUCCUUCAAUUGUAGAGUGUCAGCCCCGUAAGCAGAA
rnacentral:lncRNA from 1 species